rnacentral:rRNA from 1 species
UACGUAGGGUGCAAGCGUUGUCCGGAAUUAUUGGGCGUAAAGAGCUCGUAGGCGGCCUGUCACGUCGGCUGUGAAAACCCGGGGCUCAACCCCGGGCCUGCAGUCGAUACGGGCAGGCUAGAGUUCGGCAGGGGAGACUGGAAUUCCUGGUGUAGCGGUGAAAUGCGCAGAUAUCAGGAAGAACACCCGUGGCGAAGGCGGCUCUCUGGGACGUGACUGACGCUGAGACGCGAAAGCGUGGGGAGCGAACAGG